UUUUUCCAUACACUCGACUUCCCGGAGUGAAAACAACGCUCGUGAAAUUCGUCGAACGAGGAAAAGCAAACAUUCUGACCAUUCUGUGACUUGGAAUGUGACGUUUCGUUACACGGAACAUUGAACACAACGAACGUUAAUUUUAUCGGUCCUCGGUUGAACCAACUGACGAUUCAGCAGCUGUUACCUCAUCGGUAGCGUGCAACCCCGACGCUUUUAGGGGAGACAUAUUGGCGGACGUUACUGCUCGAGAAGAAGAGUGUUCUGCGAUCGUUUCCAAGGGAACGAGGAGGAUAUUAACGCGUUGAAGGAGACCGUUAUAAACUACUCCAUCCUAUCCUCCCCUCAUUUUCAUUUCGAUCUCUCGGGGAAUGGAAAUGGCGAGCAAAAGGUGAGCAAUCACCAAUUCAGAUGGCCAACCGAGUUAUAUUAAUAAAAGAACUGAAAAUGAAUGAUAAUUGUAUAAGAAAAAUAUGAUUAUGGCUUUAUUUGAUUUGGUAGUACCAGUACCAAUUUACGAAUCUAUCUAUUAAAUCGUAAGUUUCAAAUAUCGAAUUCGAAUUUUUGAAACAGAAAAUUUCUCAAGUUUCUGCACAGCUGCACACUCUUUUCUCGAAUUUUUCAAACUAAUGCCGCGUCAUAUGGGUGCAAUAAAGGCAUAACUCUCGGCGGUCCAUUCAUCCGAAAUCCUUUCGUCGAACGAAUUCCACGUCUUGAUACUCUCUACCUACUUCUCUGCGUCUAUAUCUGAAAAAAAGAAAACUUUUAGCCACGGUUUCGUUUUAUUACCUUUUUUAACCUUUUUUUUUUUUUUUCCAGCCUUCGUUUUCGCCUACGAUUCUCUCCGCUACCAGUUCCCUUCGAUUCCGUGGUUCAGUUCAGACGCAUGUUGCGCAACAUUUUAUCCACGCUUGUCCUCGUGUUUCUGUAACAGACGAAACGGUGCGUGAUUGAAGUGUCGAUUAUCGAGUGAAAAAAGAUUAUUUUCUAAUAAUAUGAAUAGUAUGUGUUUGAUUAACGAAACGUGAAUAAACUAUCGUCUCUUCGUUCCUUCGUUUUUCAAUUUUUUCUUUCGAAAUUAUACGAAAUCGAAUAUCAUAGAAAUGUUUGAAGGAAAAUUUGUGGAACAAAAAUUAUUUAAAAAUUUUUUCCUUCCCGAAGAGGGAGGAAUUUCGCCAUUUCGGGGUGGAAUUAUCGAAUUUUCACGUGUCUCACGCUGCUGGACCAACAUGGCUGCUCGCGUAUCCAUGGUUACACCCUCUGCCAUUCGAUAUAACCCUUGAUGAAACGCUCGCACUGGGAAUACAAGGGGCGGUACGAAAAGAGGGUGAAACUAUAGCGGAGGGUGUGCUCGAGAUGACGAAGGAAAGCCUUUCAUCUUUCAGCGUCGGCCAUGAAAAAAAAAAAAAAGAAACUUAUGUUUGUCGAUUUAUCGAGAGACGAGGCGAGCUGU